UUUUUUUUUUUUUUUUUUUGAUUUCAACAAUUCCAGUUGCUUUUGUGUCAUUUUCAAGCAGUUCCCCCUUCCAAGCAGCAUACUUCAGGAAUUGGGUUUAAACACACUGUUUCAUAAACUGCCAGCCUCCUCGGCCGCCCCAGUGCCUCUGAUUCCGUAAAUCAGAUCAUAGGCAGCAUGCUGUCAUAUAAUAAGGUGUCUGAUCCUUAUUACCAGUUUGUUGAUGCACAGACUCCUUCAAAUUGACCAUCGCAGCACAUGGUUUCCCUGGAACUAGCUGUGAUAAUUAGCGUGGUUCUAAUGAGACAGAAUGUCACUGAUCUUGUGCUGAACUGUCGAGUAUCGACACUACGGAUGGGAACUGUCAGAGCCUGCCAUCUGUGACAGCGCUUGGCAUAUUCCAGUGGCAAGGUAGAGUGUGCUCGGUAGAGUAUUUUCAAACAAAUGGCCCUUUUCUUGACGAGGCUCUGCGAUCUGUUCGACUGGAGGAGAAUGGGCAAACCCAACUUUGUCCUACGUGAAGCCCUAUUUUGACGUCCACGGAGGACUAUUGACUAUGUUCAGUGUUACAUAAGGGAGGAAGCUUUUGUUUAGCUGGUGACUUUUACCGUGGCCGUUCUUUCCCUGUUGCAUGUGCUUGCUGGUGUGCUGUGUGCAGUAGCCUCUCCCAGUCGCCCCAUAUUGUCAGCUCACAGUAAAACAGUCACUUCAAAUACUUUCCCCUGAUUUGAAUAUUGCCUUGUUUAGAAGAGAUUUGUUGGGGAGCUGAGGAUGGCUUUUAGUGAUGAAGUGGUCUAAGUUAGCAGAGGGAAAGGGGAAACGGAGGGAGAAUUCAGAAUGUGGGUGAGAGCACACAAGAAGAAUCGGAAUGGACAGAAUGUCGGGUCUGCAGACUCCAGAGAGAAGGAGGGAGGUUUUACUGGAGUAAAAGUCCAGUACUGCUUAUCAUUCCAAAAUAUGCUUUGUUGCUUUUUAUUCCUCCUCUCUGGCAGACCACACAGGGCUUGUUCUGAAGAACAUUUUCACUAAUCUGAUCAGGCAGCCAAAUACGCCGGGAAAACUGCUUUAAUGAUCCCACUAAUUACCUCAAGUCAAUAUGAACUGUAUUAUUAGACUGAGGGAAAAUAUUCCAUUAGGUCUCCCCCUCGGGAGUUUCUCCGCUUUGUGAUGUCACCGAAGCCUUCACCCUCUCGCUUGUAAUUAAUUUUAUUUACACACGCAGGCACGCACAAGGUCACACCUGCAGAACCAUCGCUGGCCAGGGAGCGUGUGGCACUCGGGCUUAAUCAGAUCUGUCAUAAUUACCAUUCUGCAUGUUUCUGACACACGCUGUGAAAUAUUUCAAUUUAACUGCCGCUACCAGCACAACCAGAUGUAGUGCGAGUGUGGCUGCAUUGGAAAUAUUAUUCCGCAGGAUAAACUCUCUCCUCCUCCUCUUCCCUCCCCCCCUCCAGCUAAUGUGGCACAGAAGCUGAUGUAUCCUGUAAAUCUUGAAUGUAGCGCUAGAUUGAUAACAGGCGAUUAGACAGUUUAACCACAAACAGCUUGUUCAUUUUUCACAAAUGAAAACCACAUGUGGUGGAACUAAAAUUUCAACCCCUUUUUUUUGUAAGGGUUGGGGUAUGUGUAUGUGUGGAAGAUGUCCUUAAAUAACAAUAAAAUGAGCAAUCCAAAGAAGUUAAGUGUUUAGAAAAAUGGAGACAUUGCCUAGUUUCCCUCCAGAUUUAUCAAAACCUCAUCAUAUUCCCUUUUACACUUUAACCAAAACUCAAAUGGGAAAAAGAUUGUGGUCUCUGGUGGGCUUUCAGGAUGUUGUAUUUAAAAAAAAAAAAACUUUUGCUCCAUUGGUCUGUAAUAGCCCUUUGACCUUAUGCCUUAAAAAAAAAAAAAAAAAGUUAACACUUCUUUAAUGAAAAUUUUGAAUGAGUUAGGUUGAACAUAUAGUUUUCCAAAGAUAGUUUUCAUUAUUGCUUUUUUUUCUUUUUUCUUUUCUUUUUUUUUUUUUUUUUUGUAGUUAACAAGUUGUUACUCAAGUUUUUGUGGUCAGAUAUCAGACAAUCCCCAAACAAUAUGGUCUCAGCCAGAUACUUGUUAGCUUACAGUCGUUUUCAAAGAGAGUUGGAGAACAGUGGUUUCUGCAUUAGAACACCAGAGAGCCCGGGAGGGUGGCAAAAGGCCAGAAUUUCCACCCAUAAGUAUAUAAAAGCUUCCUAGAAGGCCAGAGUGGGUGCGAAAGGAACAACCAGAGAGAAGUAGACACAGACCCAGGGAGGCAUAGAAACACCCAUUGCUCCGUUGAAAAUGCACAUAUGGCUUCGUGCCAGCAUUUGCCAAAUAUCAUACUCUGUUUCUAUCUUUCUGCUGUACUACUACAAUUUUGACCUUCUUGGCUGCUUUCUCAGGCUCCGUGGUGGUUCUGUUGUCUGGCUGGUCUGGUUUCCCUUUCCUAUAGAACAGUGUCUUUCCUGAGCUCUCUCUGUUCUUCCUCCUGCUUGGAAAUUCCUUAGAUCAUUGGAGUUAACAACCUGGCUAUUGUAUGUUUUCUGGUUGCUCUGAAAUCUAACGUUUUCUGCCUCUCCACAUGUUCUUUUAGCCCGGGUGUUACUCUAAAAGGAAAAUAAGUCAUUCAUAAAGUAUUUGCCUAUUAGCUAGACCCUGUUUCUUCCAGCUGUGAAGAUGUUCGUUUACAGAGUUAGUUGAGGCCCUCCCCGCUUUCUAUACCCUUCAUCUGUCUUUGUACGUUUGCUUUCCAUGGUUUUGUUUUUGCCGUCUACCUUACCUUUGUCUUCAGUUCUCAAAAGUGUUGUUCAUUACUGUGGAAGAUUGGGUUCACCCUCCAUCUUUCCUGCCGCCCAUCCAUUAUAGCAACUUCCUCCCGAGUCUAGAUAUUACCCAGAAUCCUUCUUGACACAGAAGUGGAGGCCCCAUCCAGUCAGUGAAGGAGCCCGUCCCUGCUGCAGUCCACCUGCAAUUGGAGAUUCCAAGAAGGGCUUGGUACCAUGUCAGAGUUGGGGAGAACUCGAUUCAGAACUUCACUGAUAUCCUCCUUAAUAGCCUGGAAUGUUUCACACAGCUGCUUCAAGCUAUUUUGAUGGACAUUUCACAAUCACUGGCAGGGGUCACCAUUAAAUGGAUUCCUAAAGUGGAGAAAAGAUUGUAGUCCACCGAGAUUCCCUUCCCUGGUUUCUCCUGCUUGCAGACUUUGCUCUGAGUUGGACUUUCUCUGUGCCUAGGACACUUGGUGAUACGAAAGGGAAGAGGAGUGCAGAGUCAGCUGACCAGUGCCGUUAGGAAUUGGUAGCAUGCAGAGUUUGGCAAUGUUCAGCAUUCUGACUGGAAGGGAGGAAGACCUUUUCUCAUCCCAUUUUCUUAGGCUACGAGAUCCCACUGUUGAAAGAAAAUACAUUACUUGUCUUUAGGAUCUUGCUGGGUUCUGUUUGGUGUGUGGAGAGUUUCAAUAUAUGUGUUAACAGGUCACAGAUGAAGAUCAGUGGCCAUACAACCUGUGCUUUAUGCUACUCUCACUCGGAGCUCCAUCCCUAGCCAUUCAGCUAUGAUCUGCUCUAGGCUCUAGGACCCGCAUGUGUGCCACCGGGAAAUGGGUUUCCCUCAGUGCUCUUCCUACCUUCUCAUGGACUUCAUUUCAUCUUGGACUCCUGCUUUCGUUUGUUUUCAUCUUUUCCUUGCUGAAGUCAUUAAUGUAACUCACACUUGCAUUCUGAGCUGCAGGAAUUAGAGGGCCCAGCACCUCAUGGGAAAAGGGUGUGUAGCUAUUGGGACACUCCCUGGGGAUCGAUGAAACACCUACACAUGAACUUCACCUUUCAAGGAAGAACCUUGAGACUUGAAGAGCUGUAGUCCCGUUUCCCUAGAAAUUAUUGUGCCGUGUAUUUCCCCGAGAGUUGUUCCACAUUUGAGGCUCUGCACUCUUCUUCGGGAAGUUAAAUAGGUUGAGUUCCAUUAUGUCUGGUCCAGUGUAGAAUCCAGUUGUGUGUAUCUGUACUAGACAGGUCUACAGUUUGGAUGAGGAUGCUGUUUUUUGAUGGGCACUACUACCCAUGGGUAGUUAAGCUUGAGAAUAAAUCACACAAGAGGUAAGACCUUGAGUACUGGAAAGGUUUUGUUUUGAGGGAAUGUGCUAUUUUGGCAUCUGAGGUCAAGGAGAAUAAUUUAUGAGUGGCAUUUGAUGUUGGCUUCGUGUGUCUGAACUCCAUGUUGUGCGAAUUGAGGUGAGCCCACAAUAGAUAGACGGCGUCUUCAUCGGAGACUUGUUAUGGAUGAGUGAAAGCCCUGCCUUUCAUUAUGCAGCAACUUGGCAGGGUCCAGGCAGAGUAGAGCAGAAGAGUUGAAUUAAGUUGAAACCUGGGCUUGGCUUCCUGGGUGCUGGGACAGUGACUGCCAGAGCGCUGUGGCUUGAACAUUGUUAAUAGCUUCCUUGAGAUGGUCAGUUUAGCUUUGUAACCAACAUCUGAAAAUCCACCUUAACUGCCUCUAUUCUUUUGAACAUUUUCUGGGAAGACAGGAAUA
rnacentral:lncRNA from 1 species